GGAGGCCGCAGGGCGGGGGGAGGGGAGGCGGGAGCAGCGCGGCGCCGCCGCUGUCGCCGUCGCGGUCGUCGCCGGGGCGUGCGGCCGGCUGGCGGAGCCGUACGGUCCGGCGCCGCGCGGGCGAGGGCAGGCGGAUGGCCCUGGCACCCGGCGGGCCGCACACCUGGCGGGGCGGGUGGCUCGAUUCGGCUGGGCACGGGACAGCCAACGGCGGUCGCCUUUGCGGUGGCGACCCCGGGGCACGCCGUGACCGCCCGCCUUCGGAGCCGUGAAGGAGUUGCGUUUAGGGAGCUCCCUGUCCCCCGCUGGGGUCUAGGCAGGUCUGUCACGAGAUGAGGCCCCUUCCUCCCACCCCGUGCUGUCUCCCUCGGCGUGGGGAGAAGCGCGCUCUUUUGGGAACGCCGCCUUCCGUAGUCGGCCUCCUACCCAGAGACUUGGUUUGUAACCAUGAAUAUGGUUUCUAGUUUUAGGGUUUCUGAGUUACAAGUGUUACUGGGCUUUGCUGGACGGAAUAAAAGUGGGCGCAAGCAUGACCUCCUGAUGAGGGCGUUGCAUUUAUUGAAGAGUGGCUGCAGCCCUGCGGUUCAGAUUAAAAUUCGAGAAUUAUAUAGACGCCGAUACCCACGGACACUUGAAGGACUUUGUGAUCUUUCCACAAUCAAAUCAUCGGUUUUCAGCUUGGAUGGUAGCUCAUCACCCGUAGAACCUGACUUGCCUGUGGCUGGGAUCCACUCGUUGCCUUCGACUUCAAUUACACCUCAUUCACCGUCAUCUCCUGUUGGUUCUGUACUGCUGCAAGACACUAAGCCCACCUUUGAGAUGCAGCAGCCGUCUCCGCCCAUUCCUCCUGUCCAUCCUGAUGUGCAGUUAAAAAACCUGCCUUUCUAUGAUGUCCUUGAUGUUCUCAUCAAGCCCACGAGUUUAGUUCAAAGCAGUAUUCAGCGGUUUCAAGAGAAGUUUUUUAUUUUUGCUUUGACACCUCAGCAAGUUAGAGAAAUAUGUAUUUCAAGGGACUUUUUGCCGGGUGGCAGGAGAGACUACACAGUCCAAGUCCAGCUGCGACUUUGCUUGGCAGAGACCAGUUGCCCUCAAGAAGAUAACUAUCCCAAUAGUUUGUGUAUAAAAGUCAAUGGGAAACUCUUUCCUUUGCCUGGCUAUGCGCCACCACCUAAAAAUGGGAUUGAACAGAAGCGCCCUGGACGCCCCCUGAACAUUACGUCUUUAGUUAGGUUGUCUUCAGCUGUGCCAAAUCAGAUUUCUAUUUCUUGGGCAUCUGAAAUUGGAAAGAAUUACUCCAUGUCUGUGUAUCUUGUACGACAGCUUACAUCAGCCAUGUUAUUACAGAGAUUAAAAAUGAAAGGUAUUAGAAAUCCUGAUCAUUCCAGAGCACUAAUUAAAGAAAAACUUACUGCAGACCCUGAUAGUGAAAUUGCUACAACUAGUCUUCGAGUGUCCUUGAUGUGCCCUUUAGGAAAAAUGAGGCUGACAAUCCCGUGCCGUGCAGUGACUUGUACACAUCUGCAGUGCUUUGAUGCUGCCCUCUAUCUUCAGAUGAAUGAGAAAAAGCCCACCUGGAUCUGUCCUGUUUGUGACAAAAAGGCUGCCUAUGAGAGUCUGAUACUAGAUGGGCUUUUUAUGGAAAUUCUCAAUGACUGUUCUGAUGUGGAUGAGAUCAAAUUCCAGGAAGAUGGUUCUUGGUGUCCCAUGAGACCUAAAAAAGAAGCUAUGAAAGUAACCAGCCAGCCCUGUACAAAAGUAGAAAGUUCAAGUGUCUUUAGUAAACCUUGUUCAGUGACUGUAGCCAGUGAUGCAAGCAAGAAGAAGAUAGAUGUUAUUGAUCUAACAAUAGAGAGCUCUUCUGAUGAAGAGGAAGACCCUCCCGCCAAAAGGAAAUGCAUCUUUAUGUCAGAAACACAAAGCAGUCCAACCAAAGGGGUUCUCAUGUAUCAGCCAUCUUCUGUAAGGGUGCCCAGUGUGACUUCAGUUGAUCCUGCUGCUAUUCCACCUUCAUUAACAGACUACUCAGUACCAUUCCACCACACGCCAGUGUCAAGCAUGUCAUCAGAUUUGCCAGGAGAACAAAGAAGAAAUGAUAUUAAUAACGAAGUGCAGCUUGGAGCAUCUUCUGAUACUGUGCAACAGUGAAUACAAAAUAAAACAUAAUUUGUAUUUAUGGAUUGGAAAAGAGCUUGAUUCUUUCAAGAAAAAAUAUGUCUGCCUUAUUAUUGUUAGUGCCAUAUUGUCAGGUGUGAAUGGUGCUUAAAAGUUGUAUGAUUAAAAUUUCAAAGUGCUAAAACCUCUACAAACUUAACUAUGUAGCAUUUAUGCUUUGUGAAGUUUAUGACUCAAGUAAGGAAAAUUGUAUGGUUGCUUAAGAGGGGAUGAAAAGCAAGUAAUGAGUCCAGUUUAUUAACAGAGCAUCUAAAAGUUAACAAUCACAACUUCAUUAAUGUUAACUAAAACACCUGAGGCUAUUAGAUUUCUAACAGCACUAUUUUUUUUCUUUAAGUGGAAAAAAAAAGUCAAGAGCAUUUUUAAUUGAAAUACUUGAGGGCAAAAUAUAACCCCCAUCAAUACACUGUUACAGUUGAAACAUGAUAAAAUAAUUUUGCUAUCAACAAGGGAGUAAAAUUUUACUAUUGACGAAACUAUUUCAUAUGCAAAAUAGUGUACUUAAAUGACAUAUGUUGAUGGUAGCCUACUCUUUUAUCAGCAGGAGUGACUUUGAAACACAUGGCAGUGUUUUCCCUGAGGAACAGUCACAUUUAAAUUGUCUGCAUUUGUGAUGCUGGAACGACAAUCUAAAAUUCCAACCAAUCUUUAGAAAAAUGUUUAUACAUCAUAUUAGGGCAUUAUAUAAUUAGUAGUAUAUAUAGUUAUCUGUGGGUGAGAGAGCAAAACAAACCAAAAACAAUUAAAAGCUUUUCUAAAUAGAUUUUACAUUUGUUGGUACACAUGAAGUCAGCAAAGAGAAUCACAGUACAUCUGUAAAGCUGGGUUGGAAUAAGUAAUAUUGGAAGACCUUGGCCCUCAGUGUACGAUCUGUAAUAAUAGAGUAUAGAAACAGUUGGAAUAGUUUAUCAAACUUACAUGUUUACUUAGAGUCAUGACGUGGCAGCAGUUGGACAUUGGGACGAAUGAGCAUUCUCAAAUGAGUUGUUUGAAUUUGUGGUACAUCUUCUGAAAUAGUAAUGCUUUCUUUAGCUUUUAUUUAGCUUAUUAUUAAAAUAGAAUGAGUAACCAACACUACACGUGGCGAGCCAGACAUAGUGACUUCUGCAUAUGAGCCCUGCACUUAGGAAGCAGGGGCAGGAGGUCUGUGAGUUCAGUGUGUCAGCCUGUGCUAUAUCCCUGCCUGACGAAUGAAACCAAACCAACAACAAAAAAGAUUUUAAAAAGGCAGGAACUGAAUCUACGAGAUGACUCAACUAGUUAAGAGCAUUUACGGUUCCUGCAAAGGACCUGAGUUUAUUUUAUAGUACUUGACAGCUCACCAGCACCUUUAACUGCGACUCUAUGGUAUCCAGUGCCCCCUCUUCUGACCACUGUGGGCACCUGUACACAUGUGCAUUGAGUGGACACGCACAUGCAUGCAUACUAAAAAUGUCUUUAAAAAGUAGAAGCUCUUUGUAAAGAUGAACAAAAAAUGUUACACUACUUAGGGCGAAACAACAAUGAAUAAAAUCAACCCAGUUUAUUAAAUGAUAUUCCAAUAAAUCUUGAUGUCUUGAUCAGUGGUGGAACCAUUGACUAUAAAACUCUCAAAAGGUAUAUAAAGGCUAGACAGGCUUGAAUUGGUUUUAAAAGCAGACAGAUUGAUUGAAUAAUUUAAAGUGUUAUCCUUAUUUAAAUAUAUUACCUUCUGGUUAUCAUUUUAAUGGGUAAAUCAUUGCAAUAGUGGAUUAUGAUUUACAUUGUUCAUCAGACUAAACUGAUAUAUCAUGUAGCUAGUAACAGAUUAUGCUAACAAGUUUUUAAAAAUGCUUUAGAAAUUGAGCAAUUCCUUUCAAAUUGCAGGGCUUAUAGCUUGUGUGAUAAGUGUCUAAAAUUCAUUUGUAAAUAAGGAACUAGUGAUACUUUAAAUUUUUUAGUUAAAUUAUUUAUAGUUUUUAUUGAAUGUGUCCAUUAUCUUUCUUACUAAUCUCUAUUUUCAUAGUAAUAAAGUAUUAGACUUUCACUCCACGUGGUUGCUACAUUAAAGCCAGCAUAUAAAAGUUAAUGGGUGCAGGGCAGUGGUGAUGUACAUCUUUAAUCCCAGUGCGUGGGAGGCAGAGGUAUGUGGAUCUCUGGUUGAGGCCAGCUUGGUCUAGAGUAAGUUCCAAGACGCCCAGGUCAGGGCUGCACAGGGUGACCAAAAACCAAUCCAACCAACCAACCAACCAAACAAACAAAGCACUGGAAAGAGAGCGAAAGCAUUGAUGCAUGUUAGGUAUAAGGUUGUUCCAGGCUGAAAACAUAAACAUUUAUGGGAUCAAAUAGACAUUGACCUUUGGCUUGUUUGUUUGUUUGUUGGUUGGUCUUUUUUCUUUUCUUUUCUUUUUUUUUAGACAGGGUCUCACUUUGUGGCCCUGGCUGGCUUGGAACUCAGAGAUCUGCCUGUCUCUGCAUCCCACAUGCUGGGCAACAUUGCCCUAAUUUAAUAGCCUAUACUCAAGUAUUUAGUUCCUUUUUUAAAUGUCUUAAAAUAAUUUAAAGCUUUUGAUUACACAGGGAAGUCUUCAGAUGGUGACUUUUUAAGACUUUUGCUAGACUUUUCAGACAUGAGGUUUUUUUCGUAUACCUUAUUGUUACUUGAGUACUUACAAAGAAAAUCUUUUUCACGUAUCUAUUUUCAAAAUGUAGUUGUAGAAUUUGAGUUUUUUUGUUUAAGGCAUUUUAUUAGCUGAGGACCUAUUAGCUAUAAAGAAACUUGUUGGUGAAUAGCAGCCCCUAAGUGCUUGCUUUGUGCAGAGAGCUCUGUAGAACUCUGACAUGGGAAUGCACAGACAGCUAGCUCCUGAGGAAGUAAAUAGCUGUUAAAGAAUUGGUAUUUUUAGAUUAAUGUGUAUUUCUUUAAAAUAAACACAAAGUGUCUUAACCUAAGAAUGUUUUUUCGUAAUGGUCUAAAGAUUAUUAUGAUUUUGACUGGUUUUUCCUCUGAGUGACAAAAGAGAAAGCCUUGGUUCAAGUAGUCUGGCACUGGAAAUUUUGGGACUGCUGCUUUUGAGUUGUUGUGUUGGGAAGCACUUUUUUCUAGUUGUUUUGGUCAAAAAAAAUGUAUUUGGGUUUUAGAUGCAUUCAAUAUAACCAGCUAUGAUCAUAGAACUUCACUGUGGCAGUGAAAUGAACAUUACCACAGAUGUCUCUUGGCUUAUAAAUACAGAAUGAUCUUGGGAAAUAAUUUCUUGUCUCCAAAAUAUGAGACAACUAUUAACAAAGCAUUUUUGUUUUAGGUUUGGAUUUUCUUUCCCUUAUUCCAGUUGAUCCCCAGUACUGUCCUCCUAUGUUUUUGGAUAGUCUCACCUCACCCUUAACAGCAAGCAGUACGUCUGUCACCACCACCAGCCCCCAUGAAAGCAGUACUCACGUUAGUUCAUCCAGCAGCAGGAGUGAGACAGGGGUCAUAACCAGCAGUGGGAGGAACAUUCCUGACAUCAUCUCUUUGGACUAAAGGCGGACAUACUUGAUUCUGGGAAUCAUUCAUCAAAACUCUUUCUUGGAUGUUUAGUCCAUGGAAGCUGAUUUUUGCAACUUAAUAUUUAUUGAAAUGUCAAAUGGAUUCUUUGCUCUCUGAGAGAUGAACAUCGAUGACUUCAGCAAGAACCAGAUGACAUGCAAGGACUUUUCUUAUGCUGUACAUGGAGCAUCAGAUCUAUCUCAUCCACAACGGUGGCUUGUGGGACAGUUGAUUUCAGUUUCUACGUUACUGGAUGGAUUCUACACACCAGUUAAUCUUUUGUUACAAUAAACAGCAAUAAAGUUAUGUAAAUAGUUAACUUUUCUAAUUAAAGAUGUAAUCACUGAUAUAGACUAACAACAACUUCUGUUUAAUCCAGUAUGAAGGAAAAAUAGAAGAAGUCUUAUUUCCUGAAUGAAUACUUUCUAUGGAGAUUUGUUCUAUUUUGUUGAAGUAAUGAAGUGUCAAUAACUGGCCAGAAUUUGGGUUCUACUUUUCUUCUUUAGGUUUUCUGUUCUUCAUGAUCCCAUCAAAGCAAAUAAUCUUUGUACUGUGCAUUUUUCUCUUGUCGUUUACGCUUUGAUGUUGUUUGCUGAUAUGUGCAGAGUAAAGUGCUGGGACUUGGUUGCUCUUUAUAAUUAUGUUUAAGAAUACUACACAGAUGUUCUGAUAUAAAGUGUUAUUUUAUUUUGGGUUACUAUACAUUCUUGUAGAAUUUUCUGCA